rnacentral:rRNA from 1 species
UACGGGGGAUGCAAGCGUUAUCCGGAUUUAUUGGGUUUAAAGGGUGCGUAGGCUGUGAGGUAAGUCAGCGGUGAAAUGCCCCCGCUCAACGGGGUGAAGUGCCAUUGAUACUGCCUUGCUGGAAUGCGGAUGCCGUGGGAGGAAUGUGUGGUGUAGCGGUGAAAUGCAUAGAUAUCACACAGAACACCGAUUGCGAAGGCAUCUCACGAAUCCGCCAUUGACGCUGAUGCACGAAAGCGUGGGUAUCAAACAGG